rnacentral:rRNA from 1 species
AUGGCGCUCACGUCCGCGUCCUCUUCUCCGACUCCGUCGACCGCCUCAUCUGCUGUCGCCACCAUGGCCGCGACUGCUCUUGCCUCACGCAAGGCUGCCCCUAGAGCUGGUGGCCGCUUGUCCCGCGCCGGCGCUGGACUCCCGUCGAGGCCGGUUGUGGCUGCAGGUCCGGCGGUGCAUCCUCCCACGCCCGGCGUCGACGCGUUGUCCACCCAGGACACAGCGUGUGCUGCUUCAGAUCCCCGUUGCCCUGGCCUGAUGGAUGGUGGGCUCGGGUCCUUGCCGCCGCCGUGGCUUGGGUGUCUCCCGUCCCUAGGCUCUACUGACGCUGCUCCCUCCUGCGUCGCGCCGUCAACCCCGAACCCGACUGCAGCUGUGGGUGCGUCGUCCCCAACUACUGCAGGCGCUGCUACGUUGUUCCUGGCCCCUGCGGAAGCCCCGCCGUCACCCCCGACUGCUGUUGCUGAAGCAACGUCCACGGCUUCUACGAGCUGCGAUACAUCAUCCUCUGCUACUGUGGAGCCGACGCCGUCCUCAACUCCUGCCGGCACGACGUUGGGUCUGGACACGGAGCGGUCAGUCUCGUGGAGCUCCCUUGCCGACAAAGAAGAAUACAAGGAUGACGAUGAAUUGGCUCCGCAAACGCCGCCGCCGGCUACCAAAUCCUCGGUUCCGGCUACUCGAUCGGACGGGACAUGUGGAGGUUGGCAGGAGGUAUUGCCGCGGCGCAAUGUGCAACGCCCGGACUCACCAGUCCCUGCAUUGGCUCCCCGUCCAGUCCCUGCAUGGCUUCGUGGUAGAUGUUGCAGAUGCCUCCUUCCUGGUCACGGUGCAGCGGUUUGCCGAGAUCCUUUUAGGUGUUCUCGGUGCCUUGAGAAUGGUCAUCAAGCGCGUGAGUGUCGCAAUGCUUGGCGUCCCCUCAGCUUCUUGGAAAGCCCUACUGUGUCACCGUUGCCACGCCUCCCCAUCAGACACCAACAAGCUCCAGCUCCUCGCAAGGUCCAGAAAGAAGCCUCGCCCCUCUCGAAGACAUCUUGUCGUGAUUCGUGGGCGUCGAUCAUUGCUGCUCCUGCUGGCUUUGUGGCCUCGACGGAUAUCCCAGUGCGGCCCGCCUUGGAGCGACAGGCUGAGCUGCUGCGCUCUGAGCUCCUUGGUAUGGCUUCCUUCUAG